rnacentral:rRNA from 1 species
AUUGAACGCUGGCGGCAGGCCUAACACAUGCAAGUCGAACGAGUGGCGGACGGGUGAGUAAUGUAUGGGAAACUGCCUGAUGGAGGGGGAUAACUACUGGAAACGGUAGCUAAUACCGCAUACCAUCGGAUGUGCCCAGAUGGGAUUAGCUUGUAGGUGAGGUAACGGCUCACCUAGGCGACGAUCCCUAGCUGGUCUGAGAGGAUGACCAGCCCCACUGGAACUGAGACACGGUCCAGACUCCUACGGGAGGCAGCAGUGGGGAAUAUUGCACAAUGGGCGCAAGCCUGAUGCAGCCAGGCCGCGUGGAUGCAGAAGGCCUUCGGGUUGUAAAGUACUUUCAGCGGGGAGGCGUUACCCGCAGAAGAAGCACCGGCUAACUCCGUGCCAGCAGCCGCGGUAAUUC